GUUAUUAAAGGAUAAUAGUUCAUCCAUUGGUCUUAGGCACCAAAAACUCUUGGUGCAAAUCCAAGUAAUAAUA
rnacentral:tRNA from 1 species